rnacentral:rRNA from 1 species
UACAGAGGGUGCGAGCGUUAAUCGGAAUUACUGGGCGUAAAGCGCACGUAGGCGGCUUGGUAUGUCGGGUGUGAAAUCCCCGGGCUCAACCUGGGAACUGCAUCCGAAACUGCCUUGCUCGAGUAUGGGAGAGGGAAGUGGAAUUUCCGGUGUAGCGGUGAAAUGCGUAGAUAUCGGAAGGAACAUCAGUGGCGAAAGCGGCUUCCUGGACCAGAACUGACGAUCAGGCACGAAAGCGUGGGGAGCAAACAGG